GGAACAUCUAACCAGGUAGAAGCACGAUCAUAAUAGCCUAUGAAAGAGAAAAAGAUGUUAACCCCUUCAUCUCCUGAAUCAACCUGGUGAACCUUCUCGGCACUGCCUCCAAAGCCAGUAUAUCCUUCCUCAAGAAUGGAGACCAGAACUGCACACAGUACUCCAGAGGAAACAUGAAUACUGAAAGACCGAGAUACAGUGGACAUAGAAAGGAUGUUUCCAGUAGUGGGAGAGUCCAGGAACAGAGGGCACAGCCUCAGAAUAAAAGGACAUCCCUUUACAGCAGAGAUGAGGAGAACCUUCUUUAGCCAGAUGGUGACAGCCACAAAACAAAGAAACACAAUGGAACCCAUUCAAAGGAAACAUCAAACACCCAACAUGCAAAAUAAAGAACAAAUCACGCAAAUGGCAAAAAGAGUGAAAGCACAUAAUAUAAAACAUCAAACUACAGAGUCACUGAAACAGUCGAAGAAUGUUCAGCUUAGUUCAGAUCAUCUCAAUGUAGCACUGUAACAUUCGUUGACUACAGGCCAUAGAGCCAGUCCACCCCGAUCAAAGUUACACAAAAUAGCAAUGAAAAAGAAGUAAACAGAAACCUGAAGUACAUAUGUAUAACAUGAACUUUGGAGUGCAAUCCACAAACCGUGUCAAUUAAAUCGUGCCCAAGACCUAAGACUCUGGCACUAUCCUCCAGCAGCAUGGAGUGAGAGGGAGAGAAAGACUGGUCAAACACAGGCAGAUGCUGCUGAACAUCCGCUCACCUUCCGCACAUCUUCAUUAAUUUCAAUCUUGCUUGACGCUUUAAUCUGCGAGUUGGAGAAUUAACAGGAAAAAGUUCCCUGGUCCCGACCGCUUCAUUUUCACUAUGGAUGUCCAAUCCUUAUACACUUCCAUACCCCAUCAAGCAGCCCUCAAAGCCCUCCACUACUUUCUGGACAAUAGACCUCACCAGUUCCCCACCACCAUCACCCUCCUCUGGUUGGUGAAAUUGGUACUCGCACUUAAUAACUUCUCUUUUGGUUCUUCCCACUUCCUUCAGACCAAGGGUGUAGCUAUGGGCACUUGCAUGGGCCCCAGCUAUGCCUGCCUCUUUGCUGAUUAUGUGGAACAGUCUAUGCUCCAAACCUAUACCGAUACUGCUUCCUAACUUUUCCUUCGCUACAUUGAUGUCUAUAUUGGUGCUGCUUCCUGCAUCCAUGCUGAGCUCGUCAAUUUUAUCGACUUUGCUUCUAACUUCCACCCAGCCCUCAAAUUCACUUGGUCCAUCUCGGACACCUCUCUCCCCUGUCUCGAUCUCUCGGUCUCCAUCCCUGGAAACAGACUGACCACUGACAUCUUCUACUGUAUAAGCCCACUGACUCUUGUGACGAGAAUACACAUAGAUAAGAUGUUAGCUGUCCUGUGUGAUCAGCAGUUGGUCUGCCACCUGUCUUCAAGAGAGAGAUAAGGGACACAAUGAAACAGCACCUGGAGAUAUGUAGAGAGCUGUCUGGAGCGGCUCCCCCUUUGAACCCUGAACUGUUUGAAGUGAUGGACAGGCGAUACCCCAGCAGGGGGAUAAAAAGGGACCAGUUCGCUAAGGCAGGACACACGACACCCGAGGUAACGAGACCCUGGAAGCGGUGCGCCUCUCACGAGUCGGUGGGAAGUAUCGGACAACGCACAGGGUGGAAAGGUACGAUCAGCGGGAACCCGGUGUGUGUCCGCCCUUGCUUGGGUGUCGGGUUCACUGCAGAGGAUCGACCGUAUCUGGAGGAGGGGUCACAGUCGGUGACCUCAGGUGACAUCACCAAGGACCUGCCCAAAAGCUGCUUGUGAGCAAUUAUCGCCGGUCUGUGAGUGGAAGCCGUGUUUGAAUGAUCAGUCGUUCCCGUUCUCUCUCUCUCUCCCCCCAUGUUGUCCAUCGCCAUGGCAACGAUUACUGCGAACUGAACUAAAUUGGACUGAACUUUGUGUCACUUUGAAAUUGGUCAUUUAUCCCUAGACAAUGAUAGAGUUUGAUUGAUGCUGUUAUCUUAAUUCUGUGCACAUGUGUGUUUAU